AGCCAGGGCAGUGCAAUGUCUUUGCCACCUGAUGGAAGGUGUACAGUCACAUACUGUACAGGAGCCAGAGUCGUCAGUUCUGCUUCACUGUGCCUCCCCAAUGCGUGCAGAAAUAGUGGGACCAUUGCAGGCCACCAAAAGAAAUCCUGGCCUUCUACCAUUCCAAGCUUCUGUGUUUGGCUCCAGGGAUGCAGUCCGGCUAGUUAAUGCAGUCUCUCGGGACUGAAGGAUGCCUACAGAUGUUCCCUCAACAUAGAGUUCUGCAUCAGCGUCCCCACAUAUGGUGCAGGGAAGCAAUGUCCUUCAUUCAGGCUUCAAGGUCCCAGAAGGUUUGGCCCAGUGAGGUGAACUCAUUACUAUGAGGUGAACAUUGAGGGUAAGCAGAAUGUCACACCUAGGCAUAUAUGUUGGAUG
rnacentral:lncRNA from 1 species